UGGAAAUGGGGAAUGUGCCUAAGAGACAACAACCCGACCAUAGAAAAAAACAACAGCAGAAGGUCACCAACAGGUCUUCAAUGUAGCGAGAAAUUUCCCGCACCCGGAGGCGUCCUUCAGCUGGCCCCUAAACAAAUAUAUACUAGUUCAGUGAUAAUGAACGCCAUACUAAUUUCCAAAUUGUACACAAGAAACUAAAAUUAAAAUAAUACAAAACA
rnacentral:lncRNA from 1 species